GAUGAACGCUGGCGGCGUGCCUAAUACAUGCAAGUCGAGCGAACAGACGAGGAGCUUGCUUCUCUGACGUUAGCGGCGGACGGGUGAGUAACACGUGGAUAACCUACCUAUAAGACUGGGAUAACUUCGGGAAACCGGAGCUAAUACCGGAUAAUAUAUUGAACCGCAUGGUUCAAUAGUGAAAGACGGUUUUGCUGUCACUUAUAGAUGGAUCCUCGCCGCAUUAGCUAGUUGGUAAGGUAACGGCUUACCAAGGCAACGAUGCGUAGCCGACCUGAGAGGGUGAUCGGCCACACUGGAACUGAGACACGGUCCAGACUCCUACGGGAGGCAGCAGUAGGGAAUCUUCCGCAAUGGGCGAAAGCCUGACGGAGCAACGCCGCGUGAGUGAUGAAGGUCUUCGGAUCGUAAAACUCUGUUAUUAGGGAAGAACAAAUGUGUAAGUAACUAUGCACGUCUUGACGGUACCUAAUCAGAAAGCCACGGCUAACUACGUG
rnacentral:rRNA from 1 species